rnacentral:rRNA from 1 species
UACAGAGGUCUCGAGCGUUGUUCGGAAUUACUGGGCGUAAAGGGCUCGUAGGCGGCCAACUAAGUCAGACGUGAAAUCCCUCGGCUUAACCGGGGAACUGCGUCUGAUACUGGAUGGCUUGAGGUUGGGAGAGGGAUGCGGAAUUCCAGGUGUAGCGGUGAAAUGCGUAGAUAUCUGGAGGAACACCGGUGGCGAAGGCGGCAUCCUGGACCAAUUCUGACGCUGAGGAGCGAAAGCCAGGGGAGCAAACAGG